CCUACGGGGGGCAGCAGUGGGGGAUAUUGCACAAUGGGGGGAACCCUGAUGCAGCGACGCCGCGUGGGUGAAGAAGCGCCUCGGCGCGUAAAGCCCUGUCAGCAGGGAAGAAAAUGACGGUACCUGAAGAAGAAGCCCCGGCGAACUACGUGCCAGCAGCCGCGGUAUUACGCAGGGGGGAAGCGUUAACCGGAGUUACUGGGUGUAAAGGGGGCGCAGACGGCGAGGCAAGCCAGGCGUGAAAGCGCGGGGCCCAACCCCGGGACUGCUCUUGGAACUGCGUGGCUGGAGUGCAGGAGGGGCAGGCGGAAUUCCUGGUGUAGCGGUGAAAUGCGUAGAUAUCAGGAGGAACACCGGUGGCGAAGGCGGCCUGCUGGACUGCAACUGACGUUGAGGGGCGAAAGCGUGGGGAGCAAACAGGAUUAGAUACCCCUGUAGUC
rnacentral:rRNA from 1 species